rnacentral:lncRNA from 1 species
AGCCCCUGCGAUGGGAAGACCUCAGACGGCUUUUGUGACCUGGGAGGGAGUGUAGCCGGAGUUGCGGCCCUGAGAGGCGGUGAGGCUGUGCAGUCCGGGUUCUGCUGAGCUUUCUCCCCACUUCCUUUUCGCUGCCCAGUUUUCCUGUCCUUGAUGUCCCGGGCCUGGCGUGUCUUGGACGGAAACUCGGCAUCUUCUGUUUACUGCUGGCAUCCACGAAACAGUAACAGGCCCCAGACUCUUCACAGAUCCUGAAACCACUCACCUGCCUAAGACUGACAACGUUGGCACAAUUUCAACCUCCCUGUGCCUUUCUUCCCGGGGAAGGAAGCUGAGAGGGGAUGAAUCAAGUAACAUAAUAAACUUCUGAGAAGGCAGAGCAAUAUGUUUGGGUCUCCAUCUUUCUUUCAAAAAAGAAGCUUCAUAUCAAGACUUGGAAAGAAGUGCAAAUCUCUUAGUGAAGAAACUGCCAAGAAAAUUACUGCUCACCUAGCUCAAAGAGAAACAUUAAUUAAAGGGCCACAUCCACAGCAUAUGCAGGUUACCAGGCCAGGGGUUGAAUUGAAGCCACAGCUGCUAGCCUUCGCCACAGCCACAGCAACACAGGAUCCAAGCUGCAUCCGUGAGCUACACCACAGCCCACAGCAACACCAGAACCCCAACCCACUGAGCAAGGCCAGGGAUGGAACCUCAAAGUCAUGGUCACUAGUCCAAUUCAUUUCUGCUGUGCCACAAUGGGAACUCCUCCUUUGGUAUUGUUAACAUUUGGACCUUUCACUCACGUGUGCUCUGAUCUUCACAAAAGGGCUUUAGGAUAUUAAUUAGUCUAGAAACAAAUGUAUCCUUAUCUGGUGUUGAUCACCAUUAUACAGUUACUAAGCUAAAAGUGCAUCAAAUAUUAAAAAUCAGUUAAGUUACAGAAAACAUAAUGAAUGAUCCGAAAAGACUGCAUGCCAUCUAGAGAAAGAAAAAAUUUCUGCUUUGAUUAUUUUAUGGAUAUAUCUUUUGUAAUUCAUUUAACCUGGCAACUUAACAUUUUUGCACCUGUCUAUUGCAUUUCAUAGUAUAAAUUUCCAUAGCUAUUAUCUUUUAGUUUCUUACACGUUGUUCUCCAUAUAGCAACAAAUUGUAAGUGUUGUGCUUGUUGGAAGCUAGAUGUGGUGUGUAUUGAGAACUAUAUAUAGAGGUGGCCCUCAAGUACUUAGAAGUAAAGGAAAUAGAAUGCCUUGUGAGACAAACAGUAAACUGAGCAUAACUACCCUAUCUUUGAUGGGAAAAUUCUCCUGCAAAAGAUAUAACUUUCUGUGCCUUCAGAACUUUAAAAUAUGGAUGAUGUUUAUAUACAUACCUGUCACGUUAGCCAAGGAAACCCAGCAAAGAAGAGUCAUGCAGCAUAGUUUGGGAUCUUUCCCAGGACAUAGAAAGGAGAGUUAUCAAGAAUAACAUUGGAAGUAUCAAUUCCAACUGGUUCUUAGUGAGAGGGAGUUUUAGGCAUCAUGUUUUGUUUUGUUUAUUUCAUUAUUUAUUUUUGGCUACAAGGGAACUCCUAGGCAUUAUAUUUUAAAUGCCCUGGUGCCUAGAGAAAGAUUAUGUCCAUGGAGAUUUGGACACAUCACACCUCAUAUAAGAAAUAUUUGACUUCUCUAAUGCUUAUUGUUAAAAUGUUUAUGUUCAGGUAACUUUAAUCACAUGACCUUAAUUAUGAGAGAAAAGCUGUUCAUUCUGACUGUGGGUCUUCUACUUUUCGUAACAAUUGUUUUUCAGCUUAAUUUAAUAAAUUCACAUUUUGAUAUCUCUUGCUAUCUCCUGGGAAGUUUACACUUAAUCAAUGUCACAGGACUUCUAGAAAUUGAUCAUCGGUCUCUCCUUGAGCCUACUUGCACAUGCUGAUCUAUCUGGGGAUUUCUAUACUUGAUCUUAAACUAAGUCACCAAAUAUACAAUAUUAGAAGCCAAAUCAAAUUCUGUAAACAAAGUGAGAAACCACAGUUUACUAAAGAAAAAAAAAAUUGGAGAUGGCUCAUAUCACAAGCUGGAUUUCAACAUCCAACACUAUGUGGUAGAUGGCCGGAUCAACUGAAACCUACAAAUGAGCUCUUCCUAGAACAGAGGUGAAUGUGGCUCAAGCAGCCUUUGAAAUAAGAUGUUCUUCCCUAAGUGUAUGUGUACAUGUGUGUGUGCGUGUUUGAGUGUGUGUUUGUAUAUGAGAGAGAGAGUCUAAAUAGAUUUUUCUGAUGUCUGGCCUAGAAAUCCAACUAAUAUCAGCCCAAAAUUGUCAAUGUGUUGGCCAAUAUGAUAGCAAUCAUGCGAGUGAGAAAGCGGGAGCAGAAUCAGGGUACCUCUUCAUGUAGCUAUAUAUCAUCAAGUCUGGGCCUGACCUAAGAGUAUCCUGAUAUAUAACUCCCCUGCUAGCAGUGCUGCCUUUGUGGUGUCCAAUAUGCAUUAAGCUACUCUGGAUUUUGUUUAUUUUCCUUUUUGUUUAUUUUCCUUUUUAGGGCUGUACCUGUGGCAUAUGGAAGUUCCUGGGUUACAGGCUGAAUCAGAGCUGCAGCUGCCAGACUACACCACAGCCACAGCAACACCAGAUCUGAGCUGCAUCUGUGAUUUACACUGCAGCUUGUGGCGAUGCCAGAUCCCUAACCCACUGAAAGAGGCCAGGGAUCGAACCUGCAUGAACACUAUGUCAGGUUCUAAGUCCACUGUGCCACAAUGGGAACUCCAAGCUGCUCAGUUUUGAGAGGGUUUGUUAUUGCUAUUUAGUAUAUGUACUACUUGCUACCAAAAUUAAAUAUGUUAGGCUUAUAUAUUUCAUCAUAUAUAAAGGCCAAAAAUACAAUUUUCAGUGAAUAGAAGUCAUUGAAUGAUUUAUACAGGUUUGUGUAAGUGUGAAAAUGUGAAAAAGAAAAGUACAUAUUCUUUAUACAUAAAUAAAAUUAUGAAAUGUAUACACAGGAAUGAUAUAUUCAGGUUAAGAGAUAUAUCUAGGAAAGUUUGGAGGGAAAUGAGAUUAAGAAAACUGCACUCAAGGGACUUUGUUAUAUUUUAUUUAUAUUUUAGAAUUGAAGAUUUUAUAAUAUAGCAAAACUGGGCGGAAAACAUGUAUAUUCAGGAUAAAUUUCUCCAGAUUUUUAUACACGUUUGAAAUACUUCACAGCUAAAAAAUAAUUAAAAAUAAAAGCCUUCAUGGAGAAAGUGCUAUUUCCUGUGAAGGAUAAAUAGGAUUUACACAGUGAUAUUUUAUUGCUCUAUAUUAGUUUCCUAUUGUUACUGUAACAAAUUACUGUAAAAUUAGUGGCCUAAAACAACAUAGAUUUAUAUCUUAGUUUUGAUGGUCAAAAUAUGAAAUAGGUCUAAAACGAAGACGUCAGCAAAGCCAUAUUUUUCUAGAGGCUUUAGGGAAGACUCUAUUUUCUCACUUUUUCCACCUUCUCAAAUCUGCUCACAUUCAUUGGUUCAUGGUCCUUUUUGCUCUUUAAAGCCAGCAAUGGCACGUCAUGUGUUUCUCAAGAUGUCUUCUCUCUUUUUCUAAUUCUUUUGCCUUCCUCUUCCCCAUUUAAUACUGUGUGAUUACAUUGGGCCACCUGGAAUAAUCUCUUUAUCUUUUUUUUUAUAAUUUUUUUAUUUCCCCACUGUACAGCAAGGGGGUCAGGUUAUCCUUACAUGUAUACAUUACAAUUACAUUUUUUUUCCCCCCCCUUUGUUCUGUUGCAACAUGAGUAUCUAGACAAAGUUCUCAAUGCUAUUCAGCAGGAUCUCCCUGUAAAUCUAUUCUAAAUAGUGUCUGAUAAGCCCAAGCUCCCGAUCCCUCCCACGCCCUCCCCCUCCCAUCAGGCAGCCACAAGUCUCUUCUGCAAGUCCAUGAUUUUCUUUUCUGAGAUGUUCAUUUGUGCUGGAUAUUAGAUUCCAGUUAUAAGUGAUAUCGUAUGGUAUUUGUCUUUGUCUUUUUGGCUCAUUUCACUCAGUAUGAGAGUCUCUAGUUCCAUCCAUGUUGCUGCAAAUGGCAUUAUGUCAUUCUUUUUUAUGGCUGAGUAGUAUUCCAUUGUGUAUAUAUACCACCUCUUCCGAAUCCAAUCAUCUGUCGAUGGACAUUUGGGUUGUUUCCAUAUCCUGGCUAUUGUGAAUAGUGCUGCAGUGAACAUGUGAAUGCACGUGUCUCUUUUAAGUAGAGUUUUGUCCGGAUAGAUGCCCAAGAGUGGGAUUGCGGGGUCAUAUGGAAGUUCUAUGUAUAGAUUUCUAAGGUAUCUCCAAACUGUUCUCCAUAGUGGCUGUACCAGUUUACAUUCCCACCAACAGUGCAGGAAGGUUCCCUUUUCUCCACAGCCCAAUCAGCUGAUUGGCAAUCUUAAUUUUAUAUGCAAUCCUAAUUCCCCCUUGCCAUGUAGCAUAAUAUAUUCACAGAUUCUGGAGAUUAGGUUGUGAACAUCUUUGGGGCAGAUAUUCUUCUGUCCACCACCACAGAGGCCAUCAGUAUUCUUUGUUUAUAAACAACAGACAUUGUCUCUAACUUAAGCAUAUAGAGAAUUUAUUAGGUGGAUAAAGGUUUAGCUUAUAGAAUUACAGAGAGCUGAAUAAUUGUGUGUUGGAAUGGGUGUGAAACAGAGCAGCUCUGGAUAUCUAGAAAGUGGAGAUGAUUGACAGUCUUUUUAAUAGAUACUACUAUCUUUUUUUCCCCUUUUUUCUUAAUAUAUUUCAACAAAUAAUACACCAAUGUUUGGGAUCAUUAAUGUGAUGUAACUUAUUAGUUUGUCUCAGAGAAAAAUAUUCCAUGUUUAGACACUACUAUAUUGAUGAAUAGUUCCAACUAUGUUUUUAUUCUUAUGCUACUGAAGAUUGAAACUCCAGGGAGAGAAAGAUUCAGACUGGAUUAGCCUAAGUAAUGUAUCCACUCCUUAGCCAGAGCCUGGAUGAACACCUUGGUUUAUGGACCCAUGAAGAUUGUAGGCAAUGAGAGGAGGUUCUUCCCCAAUGGGAAAUCUAGAUAUUAUCACCAGAAGAAGGAGAAAUGUAUGUUAGGCGUCUCAAAAUAAGAGACGCCUACUGCAGUAGAAAAAGGUAUUCUGAGUAAUAGUAGUGUCAGCUAGGUGGUAGUAGAAUGAUAAUAAAUUGUAUAUUUUAUGAAUAAGUUUAGUUUUGCUAGCAUGGAACAUGAAAAUAGCCCUCCCUGGAUAACAACAGCAAAGUAGGCUUGGCUGUGUAGAGCUGUCCCUGAGUGUGCAGGGGAAAGACUUUACCCAAUGUCAUGGGGCAUAGGCAACUAUCAAAUAUUUUAGGAUUGAGGAAUACCAAUAGCAACUGUAGUUAGGAAGCUUAGGUCAAUGGCACUGGGAGCAAAUGGAGUAGGAAUUUUGAUUCAGAACACAGUUAUGCCACUAACAGCUAAGAACAAAUCUUACCUAAUUAUUUCCAUUCUCUCUGGAAUUAAACACUAAGCUUCUACUUAGUGAAAGACAAGUCUGAUUUCCUAGAGAUCAAUUAUUUCUGCAGCUCUUUGGGGAAGGAAGUAAGAUUCAUGAUUUUCUAUAACAUAUCUAAAAGCUCCUAUACAGGGACUCAGCAUAACCUCCCAUAAUGACAACCACAGAGGCAAGCCUUCACAAAACUUUCUUCAUUCUAUUCCAUUCAUUUUUGUCUUUCAGACCCCAUAUUUAUCUACCUCAUUCUAUCCAGUAGCCAUUCUUCCCAGUUAUUCAUUAAAGGAAUUUAUACAUUUGUCCUAAGCAAAUCCUUACCUAGAAUAUGCUACACAAAAAAAUUGCAAUAUGAUUUUCAAGGAAACUAAUUUUAAAUUCACACAUUUAAAGAUUGGUGUUUAGGUUUCACAAAGAGAAAUUACUAAAGUAAGUAAUUUGAUGCUCAAAAAUAUUUGCAACUUACAUACACGACAAAGAUUAAAAAAGAAUUCCUGGUCCAGAACUAUUCCUCCUCAGGAAUCCUGGAAGCAAUAUGAAACUCAAGCUGUGAAUCUGAAAAGGAAUGUAAAGUAUUAACACGUACGAUCAAUGUACCAUCAUCAUUGCCUAGAAAUAUUUUCCCCUUACUUCUGAAACAUUGUCCAUUUUUAUCUGGAUCAUAACAGCUCUUCUUCUGUCUCCGUUGUUUUGCUGGCCGGUGGAAUAGAUGAGUCAUUUCACCAUCUGGGCUAGAGAAAAGGGAGAUGUAUGGCUGAAUAAAGCUGAAUAUUAUCUGCAUAAUGAUGGCCCUGCAAUCCAAAAUAUCUCUCUUUCUUAGUGUCCUCAUCUACACUUAGUCUUUCUUCAAAACAAAAUUAGGGGAUAUUCUACAAAAGCAAUUUCUGGCUACUUCUUCUCACCUCUAAGUCAACAUUUCAAAACGUUUGGCAGUAUAAACUCCAGGCAGCAUUGACUUUUCAAAGGUUUGUUAAUGGCUGAAAAGACUGGAUUGAAGUAAUUUAGCAAAACAUAUAGCACCAUAUUUUUUUUGAAGUGUCAUUCAAAAUUCUACAUAAAACUACUUCUCAAAAGCAGAGUUAGCACUUGAAGAGGUAAAGGUCAGUCUUUGCCUGGAGAUAGAAUCAGGGUUGCCCAAAUGAUGCAACUUUUCAAUUCACUGUAUGUGGGUGUAUGUGUGCGUGCGUACCUGUAUAUGUUCAUGUGUACUUUGCUGAAUGCCAAGAUACAGUGGAGGAAAAAAACAUAUAUCUUGCCUUCAUAGGGUUUAUAGAUGCAUGUGAUCAAACGUAUAGACUACCUGUAGAAAUAUGUAUGUAUUUCUAGGAAUAAAAAACUUGUAUUUAUGACACAGGUAAUUAGGAGUUCUCUUAUGGUGCAGGUAGUCAAGGAUCCAGCAUCGUCACUACUGUAGCACAGGUUUGAUCCCUAGGAACUUCUACAUGCCAUGGGAGCAGCCAAAAAAAAAAAGAAAAAA